rnacentral:rRNA from 1 species
AUUGAACGCUGGCGGCAUGCCUUACACAUGCAAGUCGAACGGUAACAGGUUAAGCUGACGAGUGGCGAACGGGUGAGUAAUGUAUCGGAACGUGCCCAGUCGUGGGGUAUAACUGCUCGAAAGAGCAGCUAAUACCGCAUACGACCUGAGGGUGAAAGCGGGGGAUCGCAAGACCUCGCGCGAUUGGAGCGGCCGAUAUCAGAUUAGGUAGUUGGUGAGGUAAAGGCUCACCAAGCCGACGAUCUGUAGCUGGUCUGAGAGGACGACCAGCCACACUGGGACUGAGACACGGCCCAGACUCCUACGGGAGGCAGCAGUGGGGAAUUUUGGACAAUGGGCGCAAGCCUGAUCCAGCCAUGCCGCGUGCGGGAAGAAGGCCUUCGGGUUGUAAACCGCUUUUGUCAGGGAAGAAAAGGUUCUGGCUAAUACCUGGGACUCAUGACGGUACCUGAAGAAUAAGCACCGGCUAACUACGUG